rnacentral:lncRNA from 1 species
CAUUCUUUAUCCGCUAAGAAAGGCAAGGAUGGAGUAAGGUUUGGUGGGGUGGAGCGGAUGGUUGACGGGCAGUGGCCGAGUCCAAUCGGAGUGCCGCGCGCAGUCUGGUCAGCCUAUGGGACUCGGAUCCUAAAGUAAGAGGCGGGUCUCUUGGAAGUGGGAAUUAUUCGUGGGUCUACUUGAUCAGCCAAAGGGCUCGGCGGCCCUCGAGAAACGGAAGCUUGAACCUGGGACAUCUUUGUGGCACCUGAGAAUGGAGUUGGCGAAAGCAGCAUGAACAGUGUUCAUCAAGAGGAGCCACUUAGUUACCCUCGGUCUGUGGGCGGAGCCAUGCAGAUUAGGCUUCCAGGCCUCUCGGGGAGGGGUACGUUUGUGGGCGUGGCUUUGAGGGGUUUCUACGUCCUCGUUGGCUGACGACAGAGCCUCGCCGCCCUCUACGCGACACUAUUGGCUGGCAGGACAGGGAACGUGCUCGACGGCCCCCGGCAAGGACCGGUCCCCUGGACAGUCUUCAGUGGCUUCGAAAUACAGAGGAGGAACGCAGGGGCUGGGUCGCAUCCUCCCAUCUCGGGAAGCGUGGAGAGCGAGGGCUGCGAGGGACUCGUGCAACCAGCAGAAGGCGCUCCAAACUGACAGUUUGAGAACGAGGGCGAGCGCGGUGCCAACGCGCCUAUCCUGGUCUCCGCGUCUCACCCUCCACCCCUGAGUCUCUCAGGCUCUGCCUUUGCGUGGCUCUUUGGGUCUGUGACUCUCCAUCUGUUUUGCUCUACAAAUCGCCCGUUCUUGGUCUCUGGCCUCUCCCUGGACAGUUGAGUGACACCCCACACCCAGCCCCACCAGUAGGUGGCGUAAAAAUCCACGUCUCUUGAAAAUGGAGACACCUGCUCCGAUGAUCCUUGAGCUCUGAGAACCUGGAGACUUCUGAUGUCAGCUCAUCUGCCUGGCAAGCACCAGAAUUAGGCAUCCAGAAUUGGGAUUUCCUCACAUCCCGCUGCUUAUAAACGGCCCACUCACCUCACCUCCACGCCGCAAGUCCGAACCUGUCACACUCUCUAGACUCUCGUUUAC